rnacentral:rRNA from 1 species
GUAGGGAAUCUUGCGCAAUGGGCGAAAGCCUGACGCAGCCAUGCCGCGUGAAUGAUGAAGGUCUUAGGAUUGUAAAAUUCUUUCACCGGGGACGAUAAUGACGGUACCCGGAGAAGAAGCCCCGGCUAACUUCGUGCCAGCAGCCGCGGUAAUACGAAGGGGGCUAGCGUUGCUCGGAAUUACUGGGCGUAAAGGGAGCGUAGGCGGAUAGUUUAGUCAGAGGUGAAAGCCCAGGGCUCAACCUUGGAAUUGCCUUUGAUACUGGCUAUCUUGAGUAUGGAAGAGGUAUGUGGAACUCCGAGUGUAGAGGUGAAAUUCGUAGAUAUUCGGAAGAACACCAGUGGCGAAGGCGACAUACUGGUCCAUUACUGACGCUGAGGCUCGAAAGCGUGGGGAUCGAACAGGAUUAGAUACCCUUGUAGUCC